rnacentral:misc_RNA from 1 species
CUUGGGGUAGACAGGCAUGUGCUGGGAUGGCAUGCCAAGGCAUGUGCUGGGAUGGCAUGCCUUGGCGUGUGCUGGGAUGGCAUGCCAAGGACAAGCAUGUGCGAGGAAGGCAUGCCAAGGCCAAGGCAAGGCCAUGGCAAGCACAUGCAUCGCGAGGGAGAGGAGAUGGUUACGUUUACCCCAAGAGUGCCCAAGGGAAGGAAGGUGUCAAACGCAUGCUGAGCCCCACUUCGGUAGUUUGGCACCCCCAUAGGCAUUUAGGCAAGCGUGCCUAUGGGAAGGUCUGUUGAGCUUGUCUGCCAUGUUGGGUAUUAUUCUACGGACGAGAUGAUGGCACAAGGAUGCUUGCUAGGUAACGUUUUGGCACCAGACCGCAAAUGCUACUUCAAGCUUCAGCGGGUGGAAUCUGCCUAUAGGGACGUUGCUUGCUUGCUGUGGAGUUGGGACACGCCCAAUAUCUAUCAUCGACCAGGUAAUACUUGCAUGGCCCCAUAGGUAUAUUCAGGCAAGCGUGCCUAUGGGUAAAGUCCGUGGAGCUUGCCAACAACCAUGUUAGCUGUAGUCUGGACCGAUGAUGGCACAAGGAUGCUUGCUUUAAGGUAACAUUCCGGCAGCACAGCCAGCCCGCAAUUGCUAGUUCAAGCGGGUGGAAUCUGCCUAUAGGGGUGUUGCUUGCUUGCUGUGGAUUUGGGACACGCCCAAUAUCUAUCAUUGACCCAACGAAGUGCUCAACAUGGGUUGCUGAGGGCUAUUUUGGCACAGAUGGUUCACUUGUUUGCUUGGCUUUGAUAAAUGUUUAGAUUUCAUGAUGUUUGGGAUCCAAUAAAUUUAUGUGGGAAGCUGAGAGCUGGAACCCAAUGUCAUUCACCAGACGGCUUAGCUUCGUCAGUGUGUAUAAUAUGUCAUUGAACCCCAAUCCUCGAUGCCAACCUGAUUAUGACUUUUGGAUCGCAAUUAUCAUGGAUAUCAAAAACUGAGUAGGAGUCAUGGAAUAAGUGAACAAUUUGUAGCCUUUAUAGCUCUUAGCUUUCGCAUCGCCCGGUGUGUUUUGGGAAUCGCUUUGUGCAUUUGGUUGCCUGCCGUGCCUCUUGGCAUACGGUGGGUGCCACUUGCUGGGUGGUUUUCGGAAACAUCCACCGUAAAGGUGCAUGAGUGGUGUUUGGUUUGUUACGGGUGGUUGGCUCUUUGCUUGCGCAACAACUGCCAUCCGACUUACCUCUUCAGAUGUUUGCCUAGGCUUGUAUAGCCUAAGCAGAUUGUGGGUUUCCUGUGUUGCCUACCUACGUCACGGAAUUGUCCCGAUCGAUCAAAGUUGCUUUCGUCUUGUGUCGUCUUGAUGGCAUAAGAUGAACCAUGAAGCUGUCUCUUUGCACCGCAUCGUUAAUGCAUGCAUUGAUGUUGUGGCCCAUUGAGCAUUGCUUGGUACCUUGGAUACGGAACCUUAUGUGGGCAUGGGUCCUCAGGGAUCCUUUCUGCCCUCGUUUAGCGUUCGCGCUUCUCUUAGAAUGACUGCCCAUUUGGAAUGGGAAGCCAUUCCGGAUGGGCAGUC